rnacentral:misc_RNA from 1 species
AAUUCUCAACCAUUGAACUUGUUUCUUUGGCUUGGACGUGGGGGUUGCGGGCUUCACCAGAAGUCGGCUCUCCUUAAAUGCAUUAGUGGAAACCGCUUGCAGGGUUCAUUCACUUUUUGGCGUGAUAGUAUCGUCGUCAAAGGUCUUUGUCUCCGAGGUAUCUGCUCUCUAACUGUCUGAAAGGACUCUUAAUGACUU